rnacentral:lncRNA from 1 species
CACCAUUAAAACUAGGGACUUUUUUACAAGCAAUGUUGAACACUUGGUGAUAUCUUUGGUCACGGUUAUAGCUCUCUUCAUGAGAAUGAUGGUGAUGCCUCCUUCUUCUAUGUUCUUCUUCACCAAGGACUGAAGCUUUGGAAGGAGAAUGCUGUUUGUAAGAUGCACCACUUGAAUAGCCAGCCAUUUUGCAAAUAAAAAACAGCAAACACACAAAAACAGCAAACAAGUUAAGAAACAAAAUUAGCAAAAACAGUGAGCUUGGCAAUGAAACUGCCGAAGUGAAAUGAGGCUGAAAAAAGAGAUCACUCUCAAAGAAAUAAUGUUCUUGCACCAAUCUGAUCUUGAGGCCUUGGAAUCCUCAAAUGAAAUAUGUCAAAGCAAGCACACCAAUCUUAAGAGCAAACCACCACAAAACCAAAGAAACAAUAAAGACAAACAAGAAAAGGUAUAAGCAAGGAAAGGUAAUUGCAAAAGGAAUACUAUAUGUAAGACAAACUCAAAGAAUAAGAAUGAAAGACAAUCAAGAAAAUAAAGAACUCAAUGAGAAAAGUAGGCACACAAAAGAAUACCUAAGGAAAAGCACUAGAGUAG